CGUUGCUGGCGUCGGGCGGCCCCGCUGUGCACGGCCUGGCCCUGCUUCGGGAGAGCGGGGACGGGAGGGGGGGGCCCUCCCGCCGCGAUUUCUCCUUUUAAUGGCUUCCCCCUCCCCCUUCUCCCCAGUCAACUUAAAGCUUUUGUAAGAAUUCCUCCUGUGAAGAUUGUCCCUUACGGCGAACUAAAGCUUUUACCUAUUAGCCAGAAGUACUUGUCGGCGAUCAUUUUGUCAGCAGCAGUAACAAGCGUAGCUGUCAGUGCUGCCACAGAAACAGGGUUUGACUUUACGGUAGUCAACCCGCACGCUUGCUCGAGUCCCCUCAGUAAGUGAUGCUGUUUGUUGAGAGGUUUCACCGUGAUCGCUUCCUGCAAAUGUUCUAAAUAUUUCCUAUUGUAGAAUAUGUUACAUAAUGCAUAUGUUAUAUAAUUUUAAUUACUGCGAGGUAAAUAUAGAAGGCAGCAAGUGAGGCAGCAAAUUCAGUUAUCUGUAAGAUGGGCUGUACUGAUAACAGCAAGCACUGUGCCGUCGUGGGGCUUGGUCAUAGGAAUAUAGCAGUAAGCUCAUUUGUAGGAUACUUUUCCAAAGCCUGCUUUAGAAGGAAGAGCUGUAGGAAGAACACAGUGCCUCCCCAAAAGCUUUGUCCAAAAUUUUAAUGCAUGACAACAAAAAUAUUUUAAUUAAUUUUUACUGGCUUGAGUCAGAUUCCAGGUGAUCCCAGGAACAAGUCAGUGAGAAGAUGGAAUUGCUUUGUCCAUGUUAGAUGUGGGAAACAGCAUUGUGUUCUCCUUGUUGCUGACUCCAAACGAGCGUUGCUGUCUGUACUGGGAAGUCCACGGGGAAGCAGUAGAAAGGAUUGAGUGGUUUAGGUAAUUCUUCAUUUUCAUGUUGAAGCAUGUGGAAGAAUGUUGCCAUCGCCAUCUGGCAACUAGCAAUUCCCUGAUUGCUCUGGUGCCUGGAAAUAAAGUUUUUCAAAGAGGACAGUCAACCCAUAGAGAUGUGAUCAGCAGUAGAAUGGCUGCUAUGACGUGACUUUUGGUAGUGAGCGUGCUUACUGCCAGCUUCUGCGUGACAAAGUGACACGACGUUGAGGACCAAAUGGAAUAUCUUACGGUAUUUUAUCUUUAAACCUUAUGUCAUGGAUUAUGUGGAUAUAUCAUCUUCCACUCAAAGUUUCUAGCUGCAAAUAAAACCUUACGAAUGUGAACUUCAAAGCCUUAGGUCAGAGGACAAAUAAAAAGUAUUGUGUUUUGAAAUGAAGUUUUAACUUUAAUACAAUUACGCAUCAGUACAAAUAAUUGUUAGCAUUAUUGCUUCUACCUCCUUUCGAUUUAGUUUUCUAAUCAAUGCUUAUCAGUAUUGCAGCUGGAGUAAGUGGUACUAAGUACCAAUAUUGGUUAAAAAGUAACGCUUCAAGAGAGACAACUAUAUUUUCACAGUAUGUAGGUGGGGGAUCUUCCUUGUAACUAAAGUACA